UACGUAGGGUGCGAGCGUUGUCCGGAAUUAUUGGGCGUAAAGAGCUCGUAGGCGGUCUGUCGCGUCGAUCGUGAAAACUUGGGGCUUAACCCUGAGCUUGCGGUCGAUACGGGCAUGACUGGAGUUCGGCAGGGGAGACUGGAAUUCCUGGUGUAGCGGUGAAAUGCGCAGAUAUCAGGAGGAACACCGAUGGCGAAGGCAGGUCUCUGGGCCACUACUGACGCUGAGAAGCGAAAGCAUGGGGAGCAAACAGG
rnacentral:rRNA from 1 species